rnacentral:lncRNA from 1 species
CUCCGUCCCGCCCGGGCUGCUCGCCCCGCCCCCGCGCGGCGCUGGGAGGCGGGAGCUGUCUCUGAGAACCUGCGGGAGAGCGCCCGGGCUUGCUGCUUCCCGGACCCGCGCGUCUCUCGAGCACCCUCGUCCCACCACCUUGUGAGGCCGUAGUGUUAUUUUUAUUUUUUAGAUCAGCAGACUGAGACUCGAGGUGACGUCACUCCGCAGAGAGGUUAGCUGACUUGAAGAAAACGGACUUCAUUAUCAUGGUUGCCUGACCCAACACAACAUAUUUGGAGGAGGAGAGGGGACACUUUUAUUGUACCCCAUCACGUGGCUGAGUCAUUUGGCUCUCCAUUCACUGGAACAGACGACUAUGGACACCACCAUUGGGUUUCCCACCAAGGACAGAGUUCCAAAGCAACAGUGGCUUCCAUGGUUGGCUCACCCAGCCUGCCUGAGUCAUCAGCUAGGUCCACAGAGUAGAGAAGUGGGUAGUGCCCCCGCCUAACAUCUGGAAAAAUUCCCAAAAGUUGUGACUUCAUGACCACUGAGUCAGCAGCAACUCUUUUCUUGCCAAGAAUAGCACAUUGUUCUUUUCCUUUUCAGGUAAUCCCUCCCCGGAAAGAGAAGAUCACAGAUUUUGUCAUAUUAAAUACAUUGUAGAAAUUCAUGGUAGCAGGGGCAAGAUCAUUUAAACAAAACAGAAAGUUUCAGAGAGAGAAAAAGCCAAGGACAAAGAUUAAUCAUUUUUCUGCUUAAAAAAAAUGGCUUUGAUUUGCAACCAUGGAAUGCUCCACUGUUUCUCUUCUCUUCAAAGACAUCUACUGAAAGGAUUCCUUAACCUUACCAAGUGGCCAAAAUACUUUUCUGAGAAGAGUCACAGAGCAUAGGCCCCCCUAGGGUACACAGAGAUUUCAUUAGUCCCUAGAUGUUUCCUGAUCCUUUUAAAAACUGGUUAAAUUCAGAGACUCUAGGCAAUUACUUCUUUCAGAACCUGUGAGGCAAAAACGAAAGAAGAAGGCAGGACACGCAGUGUAACAAACCUUGGAAUGGACUUCGCCAGACUUCAUCAGAAGAAAGCAGUGCAAGAGGGGACUGCAGAGGAAAGCUGGGGCUUGGGAAACCAGCAGCAGGGGCCACGUGGGCAGGUGGUUUCUGUGUGAACCUCUGAUCUGUGCAACAUAAACAGGAAAUGUUGAAGGCUUCCAGUGCUCUUUUUUGAUGUCGAGAACAUUCUACGGCACAAAAGAGUUUGCCUCUCACUGUUUCUCAUAUAUGGAGGUUUUCUAAUCAGCAUCCUGAACAGAAUUGAAUUAAAAAUAAAAACCAAAGUAAAACUA